rnacentral:misc_RNA from 1 species
UUAACUUAUUAAGUUUAUUAUCAGACUUAUACUAUAAAGGAGUUUAUAUAUAAUGUCCGUGGAGUACAGAGACUCCACGGAAGAAGAGGGAUGGGUAAACAGGUGUUUAUAAUAGGGUCCCGACUAGCGAGUCUAUUUUUUAAUGAUCCUUCCGCAGGUUCACCUACGGAAA